GGCUGGUUAGCUCACUCGGUUAGAGUGUGGUGCUGAUAACACCAAGGUUGCGGGUUCGAUCCCCAGUCGGUCC
rnacentral:tRNA from 1 species